rnacentral:hammerhead_ribozyme from 1 species
AAUCGAAACCCUUGAAAAGGGUCUGCCGGAACUGGGCACCCGGUACUGAUGAGAUAGCCUGAG